rnacentral:lncRNA from 1 species
UUAUAAAAAAAGCAUGCAAUCAUUACAGCAUGCAUCUAUCCUCUCGUAUCCCAUGCCUAAUCCUUUCAUCAUUUUCUUUGAAGUAUAAAAACUCCCAACAAGCUUCUCAUCCUUCGAUAACAUUUUCUUUAUGAUUAUUACCAUCCUAUCAUAAUAAUUGACCAUUAUAUUAAACUCAACCUUUAAGUUCAAUAAUUUUGAUACAGCCAAUAAUAUAGUAUGUG